CAGUAGCCGCGGUAAAACGUAGGUCCCGAGCGUCGUCCGGAUUUAUUGGGCGUAAAGGGAGCGCAGGCGGUUUAGUAAGUCUGGAGUUAAAGGCAUUGGCUCAACCAAUGUAUGCUUUGGAAACUGUUAGACUUGAGUGCAGAAGGGGAGAGUGGAAUUCCAUGUGUAGCGGUGAAAUGCGUAGAUAUAUGGAGGAACACCGGUGGCGAAAGCGACUCUCUGGUCUGUAACUGACGCUGAGGAGCGAAAGCGUGGGGAGCGAACAGGAUUAGAUACCCGCGUAGUCCCUGUCUCUUAUACA
rnacentral:rRNA from 1 species